rnacentral:rRNA from 1 species
UACGAAGGGGGCUAGCGUUGCUCGGAAUUACUGGGCGUAAAGCGCACGUAGGCGGAUUGUUAAGUCAGGGGUGAAAUCCUGGAGCUCAACUCCAGAACUGCCUUUGAUACUGGCGAUCUUGAGUCCGGGAGAGGUGAGUGGAACUGCGAGUGUAGAGGUGAAAUUCGUAGAUAUUCGCAAGAACACCAGUGGCGAAGGCGGCUCACUGGCCCGGUACUGACGCUGAGGUGCGAAAGCGUGGGUAGCAAACAGG